GCUCCUUUAGCUCAAUCGGCAGAGCAACUGACUCUUAAUCAGUAGGUUGUUGGUUCGACUCCAACAGGGAGCA
rnacentral:tRNA from 3 species